AAUCGUAGCGGAGACGAACUAACUAGGAUUCCCCUAGUAAUGGCGAAUGAAGUGGGAAGAGUCCAGCACCGAAUCCCGCAGCCUUGCGCUGCAGGGAGCUGUGGUGUUGAGGACGUCAAUUGCUGCAGUGUCCGGGUGCCCAAGUUCUCCUGAUCGGGGCCAUUCCCAGAGCGGGUGUCAGGCCUUUACCGGCACUCGGCGCUGUGACUCUGAACGUCCCUGGAGUCGGGUUGUUUGAGAAUGCAGCCCAAAGAGGGUGGUAAACUCCAUCUAAGGCUAAACACAGACACGAGUCCGAUAGCGGACAAGUACCGUGAGGGAAAGUUGAAAAGAACUUUGAAGAGAGAGUUCAAGAGUACGUGAAACCGCUUAGAGGUAAACGAGUGGAUCCGCAAAGUCGGCCCCGGGAAUUCAACUUGCCGUGCAGACGGCGGACGUUGGGAUAGGGAUCCGUCAAGACCCGCCCGGUGUUCGGCUGUCGGCGACGAGUGCAUUUUCCUGGGGUAGAGCGCCACGACCGGUUUCGUAACGACGGUCACAAGCCUGUCGGGAAGGUGACUUCUCCUUCGGGGGAGGUGUUAUAGCCCGGCUAGGUCGACUCGUCUCGAGACCGAGGGAAAGCCGCGUCCCGCCUGCUCCUGGCUCUCGGCCUGCGUUCGACUGGGGAAGCACUGCUUGCAGUUCUCUCCGACCGCGUGGGUCGCCAUCGGCUGGGAAGCACGGGGCGCUUUAGGUCAGUGGCGUCACUGUCGGUUCUCCAUUCGACCCGUCUUGAAACACGGACCAAGGAGUCUAACAUGUGCGCGAGUCAUGGGGUUUCGCACGAAACCUAAGAAAGGCGCAAUGAAAGUGAAGGCCAGCCUCCGGUCGGCCUAGGUAGGAUCCCCGCAAGGGGCGCACUACCGGCCCGUCUCGACCACGCUGUUGGUGGGGCGGAGCAAGAGCGUACACGUUGGGACCCGAAAGAUGGUGAACUAUGCCUGAGUAGGACGAAGCCAGAGGAAACUCUGGUGGAGUCGUAGCGAUUCUGACGUGCAAUCGAUCGUCAACUGGUAUAGGGCGAAGACUAUUCGACAUCUAGUAGCUGGUCCUCGAGUUCCUACAGAGAUAGCUGGAAACACUAGUAGUGGGGGGGACUAAUCGUAUAGUGAUUCGCCUCCUUUCUUGAUGAUCUAGGGAUCAUACGCUACUUCACCCUUCUCAGUCGUGGCUAGGCGUCUACGCGACGUCCCUCGACACACACUCCUGCAGUUAACGACGUCACAGGCCCACGGGUUCAAGAGACUAGCCCCGGUAAGGGUCUCGCCCACAGUCCGGAAAUGGCCGUGAGCCGCGACACUGAGACUUGCAGGGACCUCAGCCCAACAAACUCUUACGUCGGGUUUCUCCCACCAUUUGAGGUAGAUUCCGAUUUGUGUCUGUGCUCAGGCUAUCGCCUGUUCAUGGCACUCCCUUUCAACUUUUCUUGAAACUUCUCUCUCAAGUUCUCAUGCACUUUGGCGAAUCUCCAUUUGCUCACCUAGGCGUUUCAGCCGGGGCCCUUAAGUUGAACGGCACGUCUGCCGCCUGCAACCCUAUCCCUAGGCAGUUCUGGGCGGGCCACAAGCCGACAGCCGCUGCUCACGUAAAAGGACCCCAUCUCGCGGUGCUGGCCAAAGCAUUGCUGCCAGUGUUCGGACAGCCCUUCCACUGAAGAGGAAGCCCCCUCCACAAUAUCGGGCCGAUCCAGCUGAGCAGAGCUCUGGCUCCCUUUCGGCGCAGGGCGGACGAGGACCGAGAGCCGGACGCAAGCUGACCCCUUCGUGACGAACGUCAAGAGAGGCUGGCGCACCCAGCGGUAGCCGACCCUUCGUGCCCCGCGAAAUCCAGUCACCGCAGUGACAGCCAAGAGGUAAGCUGGGCAGAACUUUGUGCCUGGUUCCUCAGAUUGUACACGCGCUCAGUACCCCAAAGCGUGCUUUGGAUUCUUUCCGCGUUACUUUCACUUCCGGUCGGAGGCCAGCCGGAUCCAUCCUAGGGGCGUUCCCCGCGUGAUGGCCGGGCAGAGCUGGUGCGACAACCACCCCGCCUCGUUCUCGCAUGUGCAACCCUGGGCUUUCUACCACUUGAUACGGACUCAUCCUGCUUCGGUCUCCUUUGAGACCACCUCCAGGCAUCGCUAAGACUGCACGUUUAGCUAGCAGUUUGAACCCAU
rnacentral:rRNA from 1 species